AUUGAACGCUGGCGGCAGGCCUAACACAUGCAAGUCGAGCGGCAGCGGAAAGUAGCUUGCUACUUUGCCGGCGAGCGGCGGACGGGUGAGUAAUGUCUGGGAAACUGCCUGAUGGAGGGGGAUAACUACUGGAAACGGUAGCUAAUACCGCAUAACGUCGCAAGACCAAAGAGGGGGACCUUCGGGCCUCUUGCCAUCAGAUGUGCCCAGAUGGGAUUAGCUAGUAGGUGGGGUAACGGCUCACCUAGGCGACGAUCCCUAGCUGGUCUGAGAGAAUGACCAGCCAAACUGGAACUGAGACGCGGUCCAGACUCGUGCGGAGGCAGCAGUGGGGAAUAUUGCACAAUGGGCGGAAGCCUGAUGCAGCCAUGCCGCGUGUAUGAAGAAGGCCUUCGGGUUGUAAAGUACUUUCAGCGGGGAGGAAGGCGAUAAGGUUAAUAGCACAUCAUUUUGACGUUACUCGCAGAAGAAGCACCGGCUAACUCUGUGCCAGCCGCCGCCGUAAAAC
rnacentral:rRNA from 1 species